GACGAACGCUGGCGGCGUGCUUAACACAUGCAAGUCGAACGAUGAAGCCGGAGCUUGCUCUGGUGAAUUAGUGGCGAACGGGUGAGUAACACGUGAGUAACCUGCCCUUGACUCCGGGAUAACUGCUUGAAAUGGUAGCUAAUACCGGAUCCUACCCUCGGUGGCAUCUCCAGAGGGUGGAAAGAAUUUCGGUCAAGGAUGGACUCGCGGCCUAUCAGCUAGUUGGAGAGGUAACGGCUCAACAAGGCGACGACGGGUAGCCGGCCUGAGAGGGUGACCGGCCACACUGGGACUGAGACACAGCCCAGACUCCUACGGGGGGCAGCAGUGGGGAAUAUUGCACAAUGGGCGCAAGCCUGAUGCAGCAACGCCGCGUGAGGGAUGACGGCCUUCGGGUUGUAAACCUCUUUUAGUAGGGAAGAAGCGAAAGUGACGGUACCUGCAGAAAAAGCACCGGCUAACUACGUGCCAGCCGCCGCAGUAA
rnacentral:rRNA from 1 species